GCUGGGGUGGUCUAGUGGUAUGAUGCUGGGACAGCAGGCCUCGACCGGAGGUCGUCGGUUCGAAUCCGACCCUCGGCA